CCUACGGGUGGCUGCAGUGGGGAAUAUUGGACAAUGGGCGAAAGCCUGAUCCAGCCAUGCCGCGUGUGUGAAGAAGGCCUUCGGGUUGUAAAGCACUUUCAGUGGGGAAGAAAGCCUUGGGGCUAAUACCCUCGAGGAAGGACAUCACCCACAGAAGAAGCACCGGCUAACUCCGUGCCAGCAGCCGCGGUAAUACGGAGGGUGCGAGCGUUAAUCGGAAUUACUGGGCGUAAAGCGCGCGUAGGCGGUCUGAUAAGCCGGUUGUGAAAGCCCCGGGCUCAACCUGGGAACGGCAUCCGGAACUGUCAGGCUUGAGUGCAGGAGAGGAAGGUAGAAUUCCCGGUGUAGCGGUGAAAUGCGUAGAGAUCGGGAGGAAUACCAGUGGCGAAGGCGGCCUUCUGGACUGACACUGACGCUGAGGUGCGAAAGCGUGGGUAGCAAACAGGAUUAGAUACCCUAGUAGUC
rnacentral:rRNA from 1 species